GACGAACGCUGGCGGCAAGCCUAACACAUGCAAGUCGAACGGUAACAGGAAACAGCUUGCUGUUUCGCUGACGAGUGGCGGACGGGUGAGUAAUGUCUGGGAAACUGCCUGAUGGAGGGGGAUAACUACUGGAAACGGUAGCUAAUACCGCAUAACGUCGCAAGACCAAAGAGGGGGACCUUCGGGCCUCUUGCCAUCGGAUGUGCCCAGAUGGGAUUAGCUAGUAGGUGGGGUAACGGCUCACCUAGGCGACGAUCCCUAGCUGGUCGGAGAGGAUGACCAGCCACACUGGAACUGAGACACGGUCCAGACUCCUACGGGAGGCAGCAGUGGGGAAUAUUGCACAAUGGGCGCAAGCCUGAUGCAGCCAUGCCGCGUGUAUGAAGAAGGCCUUCGGGUUGUAAAGUACUUUCAGCGGGGAGGAAGGGAGUAAAGUUAAUACCUUUGCUCACUGACGUUACCCGCAGAAGAAGCACCGGCUAACUCCGUGCCAGCCGCCGCCGUAA
rnacentral:rRNA from 1 species